rnacentral:rRNA from 1 species
CACGUAGGGCGCAAGCGUUGCCCGGAAUUAUUGGGCGUAAAGAGCUCGUAGGCGGUCUGUUGCGUCCGCUGUGAAAACCCGGGGCUUAACCCCUGGCUUGCAGUGGAUACGGACAGACUAGAGGUAGGUAGGGGAGAAUGGAAUUCCCGGUGUAGCGGUGAAAUGCGCAGAUAUCGGGAGGAACACCGGUGGCGAAGGCGGUUCUCUGGGCCUUACCUGACGCUGAGGAGCGAAAGCAUGGGGAGCGAACAGG